CUCUCCGCGGCACGGCCCAGAUGGUGCCCGCUGAUUAGUCGACGUGGAGGACCGUGUCUCUCGAACUGCAUCUGGGCCAAUCGCACAUUAUCACGGUCUGCAGGAGCGCUGCCUGUGAACUGAUCUGGUGAACGCGUAGGCGACAGUUAAUAGUGCCGUUUGCACUGGCUGUAUGGCGGACAAACUCGAAAGUGUGUGAACGAUGUGGUUAAGGAACCAGGCUUGUAACUCGGAGAUGGCAGGCUGAAAAUACAAGGUACAUUACCGUUGGAAUCAGGAUAGUCCUUCGUAACUUGAACUUCUUAAUUUAUAACCCACAGUCCAUUUUCUGGGAUUUUGUUAUGACUUAAGUUUACUUUUACCACUUGUACGACUACCACUACUACUACUACUCAUCAUCAUCAGCAUUACGUCAGCACAUCAAGGAGCGUCUUUCCAUUCAGUCAGUCAUACAUCGGACGUUUUCAGUCCGGAGACCCUGGCUCUAUUUCAGACACGUUCACAAGCACGGGCACCAUUGAGCUAAUGUAGUGAACCCAAUCUAACUAUUGGACAGCCUAAGCACCAAACAAACUUUCCAAUUGAAGAGUGUCGUCCGAGACUGACACCUAUUAGCUGAGCAGCGAAAGAGGUUACAUUUCCCACAGGCUCUGCGCGGAAGAAAACACGGCGCAAAAGCCCCUCGGACAAAGCCAGAGUGUUCCGGGCAGACACGGCCGCUGAAUUGCUUUUCAGCGCUCUGAACAAGCCUGCACUGAGGACGGGGGGAGCGACACAAACGAACGUGUCAGAGCCGGUUCGGCGGGGGACGAGCUCGCGGUGAGGAGUCGGAUCCCGGCAGUGCCAGCUCCGUGUAUAAUCGGCUGUGAAAGCUCGCCAGGUUCAUCAGACCAGAGCGGCCCUGAUUGGCCCGGCGCCCGCGGCCUGCCCGUGGCGACAGGGAGAUGGCUGUCCAUGCCCAUUUCCAUCGAGGGAUCCACUCGCCGCUGGUCUGCGCUCCGCGGGAAUAAUGGAGGCGUUUCAGCAACCAGGCAGGCAUGCAAAUAUGACUGUGUGUUCCAAAUGUGGAGGAAAAAAGUCACUUUCUUUCAUAUGGGUGCUGCUUUAAAAAAAUUAUUUAAUCAAGCUGAAAGUCAAAGUUAAAAUCUUAUAAUAAUAAUAUUCUUUAAUGAUUGUAAGGUUUGUGUAUGUCAUACUGUAAGUCUAUGCUUAUUCAUGUUUGUAUUUCAAUGACAACUGCUGAUAUACAACAGUACUGUAUGUAUAUCAGGACAUAAAUCUAUAGUAGUUACCCAGAACUGUUUUCAUUCAAUUUAGGGAAUGAAAGGAAAAUAUCUUUCAUAAAUCAGUUGAAAACAUUUCAUUGAUGUCAGGAUCUGAUUGGAUCUCUUGCCAGAAAUGAAAGUUGGCAAAUUCAGUGAACUGCUAUGAUAUCUCCUUAGCUUUAUGCAAAUGCUUUCAUUAUUGUGUUUCUGUACUGUCUCGGCAUCAAACGUUACUGAAACAGUUAGCAGUUACUGAUAUUAAUGGGGAAAAUGUGUUGAUGGAAAAAGACAGGUUCAUUUGUCCUCAAAGUUAAAGAAAAAUAACAGUAACAAUUAUGCUGAUUGUAAAGUAAAGCUCUGUGAAUGGUGAUGAUGUUGGGGAUGAUGACUAGCAUUAUUGCUAUUGUGAUAUAUACAUUUUCCUGUCCAUUUGUAGUUAAAUGUGAAAUACUGAUUUCAUUUCAACCCCAAUUAUGCACACCUGACUGCAAUUAUGCAUACCAACUGGCAGCUCAAUGAGAUCUCCAGCUGUUGGAUGAGGUGUGCUUUGUAAGGGUUUGAGUGAAAACCUACAGGAACAGGGCUGGGUGGCCCUGUCUUAGACCAAUAGCAAGUAGCCUAAUGCUCAAGACAACAGCAGCUCACUCGUUUUAGUGAAGGGGUUUCCUUCUGACACGUUUUGAGUUUGUUGGAUACCAAUGUCAUGGUUGUGUAGCUUAUUUGCUUGUGACCGAUCAAGAACCACACUCACAUUUCUGUUUGAUGGACUGCAAAGUAAAUGCACAAUAAACUAAUGUUUAUUA